rnacentral:rRNA from 1 species
AGAGUUUGAUCAUGGCUCAGAACGAACGCUGGCGGCGUGCCUAACACAUGCAAGUCGUGCGAGAAAGUUCCUUCGGGAGCGAGUACAGCGGCGCACGGGUGAGUAACACGUAGGUAAUCUGCCCUCGAGCCUGGAAUAACCUACCGAAAGGUGGGCUAAUACCGGAUAUGACCACGGGAGUUUCGGCUUCUGCGGUGAAAGGUGGCCUCUACUUGUAAGCUACCACUCAAGGAUGAGCCUGCGUACCAUUAGCUAGUUGGUGGGGUAACGGCUCACCAAGGCUGUGAUGGUUAGCUGGUCUGAGAGGACGAUCAGCCACACUGGGACUGAGACACGGCCCAGACUCCUACGGGAGGCAGCAGUGGGGAAUCUUGCGCAAUGCGCGAAAGCGUGACGCAGCAACGCCGCGUGGGGGAAGAAGGCCUUCGGGUUGUAAACCCCUUUCAGGAGGGACGAAGCCUGGCUGGUGAAUAGCCUGUCCAGGUGACGGUACCUCCACAAGAAGCCCCGGCUAACUACGUGCCAGCAGCCGCGGUAAUUC